CACCUACCUGUGGCAUUUCCAUAAGAACUUCCAGUGCAACUUUCUGCAUCUCCAUCACAAGGUUCUGCAUCUCCACAGUUUCAAGAUUUCGUUGGUUCGUCUUAGUUGUGCAUCCUUGAAAGUGAGAGUGUUUGCAGAAAGGUGACACUUGGAGAAAUAUAUUUUUCAUCUCCUAGUAAGUGAGAUGACCAUCACUUUAGAUGACGUCAACAUU
rnacentral:sRNA from 1 species